rnacentral:rRNA from 1 species
AACGAACGCUGGCGGCAUGCCUAACACAUGCAAGUCGAGCGAGACCUUCGGGGCUCGCGGCGCACCUCUGCGUAACGCGUGGGGACCUGCCCUUAGGUGCGGAACCACUCCCCGCAAGGGGUGCUAAUACCGGUUAAUGUCUUCGCACCAAAGAUUUCUCGCCUUUGGAUGGGCGCGCGUUGGUUUAGCGAGUUGGUAGGGUACAAGCCCACCCAGGCGACGAUCCAUAGCUGGUCUGAGAGGAUGAUCAGCCACUCUGGGACUGAGACACGGCCCAGUCUCCUGCGGGAGGGAGCAGUGGGGAAUAGUGGAAAAGGGGGGAGAGCCUGGUCGAGCCAUGGCGCGGGAGAGGUGAGGGCCUGAGGGUUGUAAAGCUCUUUUACCCGGGGAGAUAAUGACAGUACCGGGAGAAUAAGCUCCGGCUAACUACGUG